rnacentral:rRNA from 1 species
UGGCGACCGGCGCACGGGUGAGUAGCGCGUAUCCAACCUGCCCUUUACUAUGGGACAGCCCGUCGAAAGGCGGAUUAAUACCGUAUGUUGUCAUGUUGAUGCAUAUUUUCAUGACCAAAGGCUUCGGCCGGUAAAGGAUGGGGAUGCGUCUGAUUAGCUUGCCGGCGGGGUAACGGCCCACCGGGGCGACGAUCAGUAGGGGUUCUGAGAGGAAGGUCCCCCACAUUGGAACUGAGACACGGUCCAAACUCCUACGGAAGGCAGCAG